rnacentral:misc_RNA from 1 species
UUGGUUAGAGCGCGCGCUUGAUAAGCGUGAGGUCGGAAGUUCAAGUCUUCCCAGGCCCACCAUUUUGAUCGAGUGCGGAGCAUUCGUCUUCUGGUACGGGGCCAUAGCUCAGCUGGGAGAGCGCGUGCUUUGCAAGCAUGAGGUCGUCGGUUCGAUCCCGUCUGGCUCCACCAGAUGGAAUUGAAGCUCGAGAAUGCCUCGUUCAAUCGUCCGCGAAACAUCACUUCGCACUCAUUGGUCCGGAUGGACGGUGACGUGCGUGUUUUCUGACAUCGUAAAGAGGAGAUCGAUCCGAGUUUGGAUCUGCGAAGCAAUUCGCGGGUACCAUUCCUAAUCUCCAGAUCGUUUUCGGCGCUCGUUCAUCGCUACUCAUCGCAAGAUGAGUGAGAUGAUCGAGUUGUAAAACGAUCUUUGUAGCGAAGCUUGACCGCCUCGCUAUCGGGCCGAUCUUACGAAGCAAGCUGGUCUUUCUAGUCAAUGUCCGGCUGUGCAAUCGCAUUCAUCGAGGAUGCGCGCCUGGGACUUCGGUCUUUGGGCAAUUACACAGACAACAUUCUGCCGAGUGUGUGGACAUUGAUAAUGAGAGCAAUCAAGUGCCUUAAGGGUGUUCGGUGGAUGCCUUGGCGCUGAGAGGCGAUGAAGGACGUGCUACGCUGCGAUAAGCCGUGGGGAGCUGCGAAGAAGCUUUGAUCCACGGAUUUCCGAAUG